AGGUCAUGGCUAAAAAGAGGCCUCACGUACAACAUUCGUAUGAAGACUGGCUGCUAUCCAGCAGAUUUGUUACUAGGAGUAUUAUCUCUGCAGCAGAAAAGGACAGUCCCACCUGUAAUAUACCUUUUCCAUCAAAUGUCCACGUGGCCCAAAGACUAUGUCACCCAAGGCAUCUGCACUCUGCAAACCACCAUACACAGAUGUUGAGAAUGAUGUGAUUAUCCAGACCCUCUGUCACUGUGGAUCAUUCCUAUUAGGGACAGACAGUGGUGAAUGCUAAACAUAUCUUGAUACUGGCACUGCAAAUUGGAAAUGUAAGGAAUAGAUUUUUGCUUUACAUGCACACACUCACUUCUUUGUUCUCAGUCUUGCCCUCCUGAACCCCCCCCCAUGCAAGUGAUGAUGGUGGUGCCCUGCCCUUUGCACAUUUCUCUGUGACUUCAGUUUGCAUAUAUGUCUGAUGCACAGAGUGGAUAGCUAAUGCUUGCAUUUCUCAGAAUCUUCCUUUCAUGAAACUGUAUUGCAGAAUAAAUUCUUUUAUUCACA